GGAGAGGUCGUUCUUUUUUAAUUCUUUUUUCCACUUUAUUACAAUAGAUCAUGAACUUCUGUCAGAUAACUUUAUUUUGAUGCGUUCUGAAUGCAUAAUUAUUGACAGAGCAAUACUUGAAGUUUGAUCCACUAUAUUUUUCAUAAUUUUUGACCAUAGUAUAUACGCUUUACAAAACUAUAUGUAAACAUAGUAUCUAUGCUGUAGUACAUAAAACAUCUGCAGUUACAUGAGAGAAGGCACAUAAAGAUUUUCAUUUGACAAAGGAAAUGAUACACCAUGGUUGAGAAGGACAUUUGGAUUGUUUUUAAAAUGUUUUCUUUCCAAGUCUUAUUUUUUCUAAGUGCAGACAGGGACUGCCUAAUGCAAUACUUCACCUGUAUUGGACUGUGUCCCCAAAAGUUAAGAGAGAUUGGUAACAAACUGGCUUUUUCUUCAAUUUUUUUAAAGCAAAGAGCAUAUACUAACUCAUUUAAAAAAAUAAAUGCACACUGAGUUUUUAGAUAUAUCUGUAAAUGCAUGUGAAAGAGUCAUUUGAAUUGCUCCAGUUGGCAGCUCACUUUCAGUAUACAGUAAUUCUAAAUACUCUAAUACUGCAGCUUUUCCUAACCAGUCACUGAAGAUGCAGCUAAAAUAAAGUGAAAUAUGUUAAAAGUCCAAAAGAUAGAGCUAUAAAAAGCAUCCUCAUGCUUUUACAUUCUCUGUUAAGGGAAAGGAACAGUGCAUGUUCAUACUGACUUGUUUACCUGGUGGUGUUUGGGGGCUUCAUAUUGCACAACUGCUUGAUUAAAACUUUGUUAAAUACCAAUAAUAGCAAUACACUCAUCUGUUAACAUGUUUUCCUCAACAUUAUUGGUUCAGGGAGAACUCACUAUUUAAACACACAAGUUGUGCCUCCUAUUUAGUUUUUUAUAUAUAUUAUUAUGACCUGAAGUUGAUGAAAAAAUUGAUAGUGCUGCCCAUACAAUGAAUUCCAGCUCCUUUCAAUGCACUUACAAGGGUGUCACUAAAAAGGAUGCAAAUUGGAUAGGUUUUCUUGGAGGAUUGCUUUUUUACAUUUCCUGUCCAAUAAGAAAGACUCAAGUUUGACAGUAAUCUAUAACUUCAAAU
rnacentral:lncRNA from 12 species